rnacentral:rRNA from 1 species
AUUGAACGCUGGCGGCAGGCCUAACACAUGCAAGUCGAGCGAGCGGCGGACGGGUGAGUAAUGUCUGGGAAACUGCCUGAUGGAGGGGGAUAAAUACUGGAAACCGUAGCUAAUACCGCAUACCAUCAGAUGUGCCCAGAUGGGAUUAGCUAGUAGGUGGGGUAACGGCUCACCUAGGCGACGAUCCCUAGCUGGUCUGAGAGGAUGACCAGCCACACGGGAACUGAGACACGGCCCAGACUCCUACGGGAGGCAGCAGUGGGGAAUAUGGCACAAUGGGCGCAAGCCUGAUGGAGCCAUGCCGCGUGAGUGAAGAAGGUCUUCGGGUCGUAAAGCACUUUCAUCGGGGAGGCGUUACCCGAAGAAGAAGCAACGGCUAACUCCGUGCCAGCAGCCGCGGUAAUAC